ACUGUAGCAAUACAGUUGAUGGCGACCGGCAAACGGGUGCGGAACACGUACACAACCUUCCUUUUAGUGGAGAAUAGCCCAGGGAAACUUGGAUUAAUACUCCGUAACAUAUAGAAGUGGCAUCACUUUUAUAUUAUAGCAGCAAUGCGCUAGAAGAUGGGUGUGCGGCUGAUUAGAUAGUUGGCGGGGUAACGGCCCACCAAGUCGACGAUCAGUAACUGGUGUGAGAGCACGACCAGUCACACGGGCACUGAGACACGGGCCCGACUCCUACGGGAGGCAGCAGUAAGGAAUAUUGGUCAAUGGACGCAAGUCUGAACCAGCCAUGCCGCGUGGAGGAUGAAGGUCCUCUGGAUUGUAAACUUCUUUUAUUUGGGAAGAAACCCAUCUUUUCUAAGAUGGUUGACGGUACCAGAUGAAUAAGCACCGGCUAACUCCGUGCCAGCAGCCGCGGUAAUACGGAGGGUGCAAGCGUUAUCCGGAUUCACUGGGUUUAAAGGGUGCGUAGGUGGGCAAGUAAGUCAGUGGUGAAAUCUCCGGGCUUAACCCGGAAACUGCCAUUGAUACUAUUUGUCUUGAAUACUGUGGAGGUCAGCGGAAUAUGUCAUGUAGCGGUGAAAUGCUUAGAUAUGACAUAGAACACCAAUUGCGAAGGCAGCUGGCUACACAAAUAUUGACACUGAGGCACGAAAGCGUGGGGAUCAAACAGGAUUAGAUACCCUGGUAGUCCACGCCCUAAACUAUGGAUACUCGACAUUUGCGAUAAACUGCAAGUGUCUGAGCGAAAGCAUUAAGUAUCCCACCUGGGAAGUACGAUCGCAAGAUUGAACUC
rnacentral:rRNA from 1 species